UUUCUUCUGGUCUUCCCAUUGACAGAAAGGGACGAAGGCUCCUCAGGCUGCAGGGAAGAUUCAUACAGAUUUCGAAAAGGGAUUCAUUAUGGCUGAGGUAAUGAAAUAUGAAGAUUUUAAAGAAGGAGGUUCAGAAGCUGCUGUCAAGGCUGCUGGAAAAUACAGGCAACAAGGCAGGAAUUACGUUGUGGAGGAUGGAGAUAUUAUCUUCUUUAAAUUUAAUACACCUCAGCAACCCAAGAAGAAAUGAGUAUCAGACGUUGUUCGUUGCUCAGAAAUAAACUGUGCUGCUUCAAAAAGCAUUUGAAUUUUUAUUUGGGAUGGAAUAUCUGGAAACAAAAAGCAUACAGUUUCUACCUAGGGAACCUCCCCUGCCCCCACUGAAAUUAUUCUUGUUUGUUUUGAAUUAAAAUACGGCACCUCCGGUGAACAUGCAAGUUCACAAAAUGUGAACAGCUUUGCAUUUGAAACGAUUAAGACCCUACUCCAAAUUGUAGAAGCUUUUCAGGAACCAUAUUACUCUCAUGAUACUUCAUUAAUCUCCAUCAUGUAUGCCAAGCCUGACACGUUUGACAGUGAGGACAAUGUGGCUUGCUCCUUUUUGAAUCUACAGAUAAUGCAUGUUUUACAGUACUCCAGAUGUCUACACUCAAUAAAACAUUUGACAAAACCA